UUCAUAUUAAUGACGAGAUUGAUGAUUU
rnacentral:sRNA from 1 species